rnacentral:rRNA from 1 species
GACGUAGGGCGCGAGCGUUGUCCGGAUUUAUUGGGCGUAAAGAGCUCGUAGGCGGCUUGUCGCGUCGGUUGUGAAAGCCCGGGGCUUAACCCCGGGUCUGCAGUCGAUACGGGCUAGCUAGAGUGUGGUAGGGGAGAUCGGAAUUCCUGGUGUAGCGGUGAAAUGCGCAGAUAUCAGGAGGAACACCGGUGGCGAAGGCGGAUCUCUGGGCCAUUACUGACGCUGAGGAGCGAAAGCGUGGGGAGCGAACAGG